AGAAAAAAAAGGAUGACAUAUUUUUUGAAAAAUUGUCGAAACAAAUAUAUGUCUUUAAAGUUCUUUGAUUUCU